rnacentral:rRNA from 1 species
UGGGGGAUAUUGCACAAUGGGCGAAAGCCUGAUGCAGCGACGCCGCGUGGGGGAUGAAGGCUUUCGGGUUGUAAACCUCUUUCGCUAUCGAACAAGGCCCGCUUAGGGUGGGUUGAGGGUAGGUGGAGAAGAAGCGCCGGCUAACUACGUGCCAGCAGCCGCGGUAAUACGUAGGGCGCGAGCGUUGUCCGGAAUUAUUGGGCGUAAAGGGCUUGCAGGCGGCUUGUUGCGCCUGCUGUGAAAACGCGGGGCUUAACUUCGCGCGUGCAGUGGGUACGGGCAGGCUUGAGUGUGGUAGGGGUGACUGGAAUUCCAGGUGUAGCGGUGGAAUGCGCAGAUAUCUGGAGGAACACCGAUGGCGAAGGCAGGUCACUGGGCCAUUACUGACGCUGAGGAGCGAAAGCAUGGGUAGCGAACAGG